rnacentral:rRNA from 1 species
UACAGAGGGUGCGAGCGUUAAUCGGAAUUACUGGGCGUAAAGCGCGCGUAGGCGGCUUUGCAAGUCGGGUGUGAAAUCCCCAGGCUUAACCUAGAAACUGCAUUCGAGACUGCAUUGCUAGAGUAUGGGAGAGGGAAGUGGAAUUUCCGGUGUAGCGGUGAAAUGCGUAGAUAUCGGAAGGAACAUCAGUGGCGAAAGCGACUUCCUGGACCAAUACUGACGCUCACGUGCGAAAGCGUGGGGAGCAAACAGG